CUCGACAAAUAAUAAACAAAUCUGAAAAGGAAAGUGCGACUAACAAAACUCUUUUGACCUAAAUUUCUUUUACACCUCCGCUUUCUGAAUCAAUUGGGCAACAACAAAGGACUGCAAGACCUGCUGAUUUUCGAGCUCUUCACCACCAGUACAUCCGGUGAUAGUACUUUCUGGUGACGAUUUCACUCUACCCAAGCCCCAAAUCAAGAGUCUCUUCAGAUUCAUUGUGUCGAUGUGAUUAUAUAUAAUCGAGCAAUUAGUGAAGUAGGUGAGAAUUUUGGUGAAUCCUAUUUACCCGUUUCAUCUUCGAUUAUUUCAUGGGUAAGAGAUAUCGUUUUCGUCUUCUUUUUCAUUAAGUUUCGUGAGAUAACCCCAAGCAAGUAUAGAUCACUCAAGUAAUUUAAAUUGUAACAUGAAUUUUCCUUAGAAGAUGUGCUUUGGUUUUUAGCGAGUCUGGUGGUCCUUCUUUUUGACGAUUCUAAAGUUCAUGCAAAACUGAAUUUUGUUUCAUUAAUUAUUGUUGCUGUUUGUCCACUUGUUGAUUUCGUAGCUGCAUUGCUAUUUUGAAUUUAUCAUUAGCAUCUAGUUCGGUUCAGGGAUCAACAAUUACUAAUUUAUUGUUCCAUUUUGUUGGAGCUGUUGAGCUCUCGGUAAUGCAGAAUAUGAUAUGAGGCUUCUGAGACCUCACUCUCUGGGUACUAUGAGCUAAUCAUCUUCAAUGUCUUCGAAGUCGUCCUCCCUACAAAAAAAAAAACAUAAGUAUCUCAGGAACUGCAGGAUAAUAUUUUUGGAAACAUCUUAAAGAAGGAUAUGGCAAGAUGCUCUCCAUAUGAUCCUAAAAUUACCAAGGUCAAAAGGACUUGAACUCGGAAACAUGUGUGUAAAACCAUCGGUGGCUGCCAUGACUUAUUCUAAGGUUUGACAGCAAGUGACUGUUUGGAUACACAACUAACAUAACUAAGAUCCGAAUAGAGUAAUAUGCAAACAAAGAGGGUCCGCGUCCUUUUUUGAAUUUAGAUUACUCAUUUGCCCUUUUUUUAUUUUUUUCCUUGUUCUUCUUUAGUUUAUUUCGUAGGGGUAAUAUAUGGAAUUUUUGUAUAGUUUUUUUUCUUUUUUUUUUUUUUCUUUUGUACUCCCCGAUUAAUAGUAUAGACUAGGUUCGGAUCCGUACGUAUGUGCAAGGUUGAUUUCAAAAACUAAGUUUACGAUCAAGUUUGCAAUAUGUUAUGUACGUGUUAGAUUAUGUUGUAAGCAUAUUUUAUAUAAAUAUUAUUAACAUUCAUAGUU